rnacentral:rRNA from 1 species
AUUGAACGCUGGCGGCAUGCCUAACACAUGCAAGUCGAACGAGUGGCGGACGGGUGAGUAAUGUCUGGGAAACUGCCUGAUGGAGGGGGAUAACUACUGGAAACGGUGGCUAAUACCGCAUACCAUCGGAGGUGCCCAGAUGGGAUUAGCUAGUGGGUGGGGUAAAGGCUCACAGAGGCGACGAUCCCUAGCUGGUCUGAGAGGAAGACCAGCCACACUGGAACUGAGAAACGGUCCAGACGCCUACGGGAGGCAGCAGUGGGGAAUAUUGCACAAUGGGCGCAAGCCUGAUGCAGCCAUGCCGCGUGUAUGAAGAAGGCCUUCGGGUUGUAAAGUACUUUCAGCGGGGAGGCGUUACCCGCAGAAGAAGCACCGGCUAACUCCGUGCCAGCAGCCGCGGUAAUAC